AAAUAAGAAACAAUUAUUUGUAUUUAGUUUCGACCUAAAAUUUUGCUUUAUAAGCCUUAUUUA
rnacentral:tRNA from 1 species